rnacentral:rRNA from 1 species
GACGAACGCUGGCGGCGUGCUUAACACAUGCAAGUCGUACGGUAAGGCCCUUUCGGGGGUCCACGAGUGGCGAACGGGUGAGUAACACGUGAGUAACCUGCCCACAACUUUGGGAUAACGCUAGGAAACUGGUGCUAAUACUGGAUAUGUGCUCCUGCUGCAUGGUGGGGGUUGGAAAGCUCCGGCGGUUGUGGAUGGACUCGCGGCCUAUCAGCUUGUUGGUGGGGUAGUGGCCUACCAAGGCGGCGACGGGUAGCCGGCCUGAGAGGGUGACCGGCCACAUUGGGACUGAGAUACGGCCCAGACUCCUACGGGAGGCAGCAGUGGGGAAUAUUGCACAAGGGGCGCAAGCCUGAUGCAGCAACGCCGCGUGCGGGAUAACGGCCUUCGGGUUGUAAACCGCUUUCAGCAGGGACGAAGCUUUUUGUGACGGUACCUGCAGAAGAAGCACCGGCUAACUACGUG